AGAAUCAACGCUGGCGGCGUGCCUAACACAUGCAAGUCGAACGCGAAAGUCCCGAAAGGGAUAAGUAGAGUGGCAAACGGGUGAGUAACACGUGGGUGACCUGCCUUCGAGCGGGGGAUACGGUCCCGAAAGGGACGCUAAUACCGCAUAACAUCCUGCCUUUUAAGAGGUGGAGAUCAAAGCCGGGGACCGCAAGGCCUGGCACUUGAAGAGGGGCCCGCGUCUGAUUAGCUAGUUGGUGGGGUAAUGGCCUACCAAGGCAACGAUCAGUA
rnacentral:rRNA from 1 species